GGUCAUUUACAUAUUCGCUGAUCUGUUCAUGCGGUCAUUCACCUAGGCAUGCACUCGCUUAAUUUACUAAUGUCAACUUCUCUCAUUAUUUCAUUUCAGCGGUUUUCUACUCCUCCAACCAUAUUUGUAACGGCUAGUCACCAAGUUCCCAAGAGACCUCAAGAUGCCAUAGCCGUGUGGGUGGAGGAGUUGCGCGUAGACAAUUUCAAAAUUUGUCUCAGAGAAGCAAAGAUUUUCGAUGGACCCCAUAAAGGGAUAAAUAUAAACUGGAUGGCAUUUACAAAUCUGAGUGUUGACAAUUUUACCAUAACCGACAGUCUCGUGUUUACCAACAAACUCACCAUCUGAUCAGGAUAACUACGCUUUCUGUCAAACAGUGAACUUCACAAAACCAUUUUAUGC